rnacentral:rRNA from 1 species
AGCGAACGCUGGCGGCAGGCUUAACACAUGCAAGUCGAACGCAUCCUUCGGGGUGAGUGGCAGACGGGUGAGUAACACGUGGGAACGUACCCUUCGGUUCGGAACAACCCUGGGAAACUAGGGCUAAUACCGGAUACGUCCGAGAGGAGAAAGGUUUAUCCGCCGAGGGAUCGGCCCGCGUCUGAUUAGCUUGUUGGUGAGGUAACGGCUCACCAAGGCGACGAUCAGUAGCUGGUCUGAGAGGAUGAUCAGCCACACUGGGACUGAGACACGGCCCAGACUCCUACGGGAGGCAGCAGUGGGGAAUAUUGGACAAUGGGCGCAAGCCUGAUCCAGCCAUGCCGCGUGAGUGAUGACGGCCUUAGGGUUGUAAAGCUCUUUUCUCCGGGACGAUAAUGACGGUACCGGAGGAAUAAGCCCCGGCUAACUUCGUGCCAGCCGCCGCAGUAACAC